rnacentral:rRNA from 1 species
GAUGAACGCUGGCGGCGUGCCUAACACAUGCAAGUCGAACGGAGUUAUUAUUAUGAAGUUUUCGGAUGGAUUAAUAAUAACUUAGUGGCGGACGGGUGAGUAACGCGUGGGUAACCUGCCUCAUACAGGGGGAUAACAGUUGGAAACGGCUGCUAAAACCGCAUAACAUUGCGAUGUCGCAUGACAAUGCAAUUAAAUAUUUAUAGGUAUGAGAUGGGCCCGCGUCUGAUUAGCUAGUUGGUGGGGUAAUGGCCUACCAAGGCGACGGUCAGUAGCCGGCUUGAGAGAGUGACCCGCCACAUUGGGACUGAGACACGGCCCAAACUCCUACGGGAGGCAGCAGUGGGGAAUAUUGCACAAUGGGGGAAACCCUGAUGCAGCGACGCCGCGUGAGUGAAGAAGUAUUUCGGUAUGUAAAGCUCUAUCAGCAGGGAAGAAAAUGACGGUACCUGACUAAGAAGCCCCGGCUAACUACGUGCCAGCCGCCGCAGUAA